rnacentral:rRNA from 1 species
AUUGAACGCUGGCGGCAUGCUUUACACAUGCAAGUCGAACGGUAACAGGGUGCUUGCACCGCUGACGAGUGGCGAACGGGUGAGUAAUGCGUCGGAACGUGCCGAGUAGUGGGGGAUAACGCAGCGAAAGUUGUGCUAAUACCGCAUACGUACUGAGGUAGAAAGUGGGGGACCUUCGGGCCUCACGCUAUUCGAGCGGCCGACGUCUGAUUAGCUAGUAGGUGAGGUAAAGGCUCACCUAGGCGACGAUCAGUAGCGGGUCUGAGAGGAUGAUCAGCCACACUGGGACUGAGACACGGCCCAGACUCCUACGGGAGGCAACAGUGGGGAAUUUUGGACAAUGGGCGAAAGCCUGAUCCAGCCAUGCCGCGUGUCUGAAGAAGGCCUUCGGGUUGUAAAGGGCUUUUGUCAGGGAGGAAAUCCCUAGUGCUAAUAACACUGGGGGAUGACAGUACCUGAAGAAUAAGCACCGGCUAACUACGUGCCAGCCGCCGCAGUAA